GACGAACGCUGGCGGCGUGCUUAACACAUGCAAGUUGAACGGAAAGGCCCCUUCGGGGGUACUCGAGUGGCGAACGGGUGAGUAACACGUGAGUAACCUGCCCUUGACUUCGGGAUAACUUCAGGAAACUGGGGCUAAUACCGGAUAGGAAUCCUUGCUGCAUGGUAGGGGUUGGAAAGCUUCGGCGGUUUUGGAUGGACUCGCGGCUUAUCAGCUUGUUGGUGGGGUAGUGGCUUACCAAGGCUUUGACGGGUAGCCGGCCUGAGAGGGCGACCGGCCACAUUGGGACUGAGAUACGGCCCAGGCUCCUACGGGAGGCAGCAGUGGGGAAUAUUGCACAAUGGGCGGAAGCCUGAUGCAGCAACGCCGCGUGCGGGAUGACGGCCUUCGGGUUGUAAACCGCUUUCAGCAGGGGCGAAGCUUGUGGUGACGGUACCUGCAGAAGAAGCACCGGCUAACUACGUG
rnacentral:rRNA from 1 species